GAACAUUUUUCCUCAAAUGAAUUCUAUUUUUUUUUCCUUGCAGCUCUGAAGCUUUUCUGGAUAAGAGUCAAGGAUAUUCUCAUGACUAAAUGCUCCCUAGGACUUCCAGACCCAAAUUACACUCAGCUCAGCCCUAGAGACCAUGGGCUACCCUCUGAAUGCCUCUCUUCAGCGGCAAGGAUCUGGUUCUUGGAAAACGGGAGUCACACUGAUUCACACCUUCAAGCAAUUCCCACUGCCUUGUGGAGCGAAUGUUAACAUUCUUCCAAUUCCAGUCAAUGCUGACCUCACUCCAGAAGUCUUUCCUGAGAGUGAUUGAAACCUGUCCUUCCUCAGUAGCUGGAAGAACUAGCUGAGAUGCCACAUUAUGACAAUGACCUGCAACUCUGCUUAUGUGGAAGGCUGGCAUAAAGAAAAUAGUGAGCAGUUUUUAAAUACACAGUACAGCACCAAGUGAGUGACAAUCUCCUAAUACUAACAAGGAUAAUAUAAAAGAGGAGUCAAGCUAACCAGGUCGGAAUCCUAACUCUGACUUUUUCCUUGUGGUAUGACUCCAGACAAAUGACUGAACCUUCCUGAGCUUCAAUUUCUUAGCUAUAAAAUAACACUACUAUUUCCUACCUUUAAAAAUGGUGGCUAGGAUUAAAAGAAAUACCUCUGUGCCUAACAUGUAGUCAAAUGAAG
rnacentral:lncRNA from 1 species